GUAACGUCCUGCCAAACCCGUCC
rnacentral:siRNA from 1 species